UGAGAUGGCAGAAAGUGCGUAGAACUUAAGCUUCUAUAAUGGUAUUUACCUCUUAAAA
rnacentral:tRNA from 1 species